rnacentral:lncRNA from 1 species
AAUGAUUAGGUUUAGUUCAGUUUUCGGAUCACAAAUUACAAAAUCCGAACCAAACAGAUACAAUGGCAUUUUUUGUAAUUUCACAUAACAUAUAUACACAAUUACACAUGUUUGCACCACUCUCGGUCUUUACUCUUUACUCUCUCACUUCCAAUUUCAGCAGCCACAAACCUAAACCCUAAGUCCCACCUUUGCAACCAAAUCCAAGUCUGCAGGUGGCCGGCAUUGCCGAAUCUUCAUUGCCGACCAUCCACUGUUGUUGCUGUUUCCUUCCAUCAUUUCUGUCGCCAGCUAGCCAGUCAAAUAACUUUGUUUUCCUUUUUUCUUUUAAAUGGCUAUUUUUUAAAUAGCUAUUUUUUAAGUCUUUUUUAAUUUCAUGUUUUCCUUAUUUUAUUUUAUUGUAAUAAAUUAUUAUUAGUAUUUGGUUUUAUUAGCUCUAUGCGUACGCUAUUGUGCUUUUUCAGUUUUUCCAUUUCGAUAUUGUGCUAGCUGCUAAGUGACGAAGGUUGUAGAUGAAGUGGAAGGAUAAUAUCAUUUGGAUCCCUUUCCUUUAGAAAAAAAUUUAUUGUGGCCUAAUGUUUAGGAAAUGUUUACAUAUAGAAAUUUUGUUAUGGCCCAAUUUUUUUGUAAACUUUUCAAAUGGGUCCUUAACUGGAAGUCG